UGUAUCUGAAAUCAAGUAAGAACACCCGCUGAACUUAAGCAUAUCACUAAGCGGAGGAAAAGAAAUCAACAGAGAUUACCUCAGUAACGGCGAGUGAAGCGGUAAAAGCUCAAGAUGAAAAUCGGCAUCCAUGCAGGCUGUCGAGUUGUAUUCUAAAGAGGCGAGUCGAUCUAUUGUCUUCUGGAAUAAGUUCUUAGGAAUUUGACACCACAGAGGGUGAAAGUCCCGUACAUGUCCAGGAGAUGUUGGUAGACGAACCUUCGAAGAGUCGGGUUGUUUAGAACUGCAGCCCUAAAUGGGAGAUAUGCUUCUCCUAAGGCUAAAUAUUGAUGGGAGACCGAUAGCGAACAAGUACUGUGAAGGAAAGAUGAAAAGAACUUUGAAAAAAGAGUUAAUAGAUUUGAAGUCGUUGAGAAGGAAGCGGUAAAAAUAAAUUAUUUGGAGGUGACGUGUUAGUUGAGGGCGUAGCUUUGUCUUGAAUGGUACGUUAAAGGCUGUUUAGGAAGAUAGCUGCGACCGAGGCUGACAUUUCAUCUUCGAAAGGCAGUAUGAAGUGAGAGUCGUCGGAAUCACCUGUUGAGAAGUUCUGUGCUUGCGCAGAGGCUCAGUGGGAAAGCGAAGACCUCGCUUGAGGGUGCCAUAGCUUGUAAGAGUUUGGUGAUACUGCCAAAAUGGUUUUUACUGA
rnacentral:rRNA from 1 species